rnacentral:misc_RNA from 1 species
AAAAAAAAAAAAAAAAAAAUUCUGCUUCUGGGAUGCGUUGCAGGCCUGUAAAGAUCAAAGUAACAAGAAUGACUAUUAUUUUUCAAUUUCCCCCCUAUAAAUAAUAUAUUAACUAGUCAAAUUACCAAUAAGGUGUUCCACAAAUUUGAGCUACCACCAAAUAGCACAUUAACGUGAAACACCGCUAGAAUAAUUUUGCCCCAACAAAAUGAUAGAUUCGUAGAGAAGGUUUAGUAAACAACACAAGAACACACCCAAGUUUCUCAAGCAUAUGCUUCCACAAUUUCACCAAUGAUUCCGAUGCCACAUUUCUCAUUCCAUUCAUGACUUCAUGAAGGAUAUGCAUUUCCGAUCUAAAAUCUCAAUGGACCAAAAGAAAACAAAAAUGUGACUAGCAAAAUUAACCAUCUCGUGCUUAUUUGGGAAAAGGGGGAACGAAUGCUCAAACGAACUGAAGAUUUUGACUCCACAGAAAUAGGGCUUAUCAAAUCAGCAGAAUUAAACAAGAUCCAAUAAUAAUCUAAAUUAAGAAGAAAAUCAUCGCAACGUAGUCAACAGAAUAUGGAAUAAAGAAGUACGUACAGAAAGAAGAUCAUGGCUGAAGCUAAAAAUGCGCAAAACCGCACAAUCAAUGAAAACUUGACAAAAUCUAAAACAUAGUCUCAAAUUAGUUCGAUUUAAAUGCUGAGUGAACCGAUUGAACAUUGAGUGAAAGUUAGGAAAUACCUCUUUAGAGUGGUGGAGGCACUC